GCAGAAUCCAUUGCUGCUCAUCACCCUAAGCCAAAACCCAGCCUACACGUUCCUGUUACUGUUCAACCAGCAUCCUGCCUUCCAGACCAAGGUCCAGCACCCAAAAGAAAGCAUUUGCCAGCACUUUAUUCAAGCGAGUGCUUUUUAAGAAAGGGAAAGAAAGGCACUUGGAACAAAAAAGAGAGGAUUCCUUAUCAAUAAGGAAAGCUGCUGGCUCUUCACUGGGGCACCCUUCUGCAAAGAUGAGAAAGAAAAUAUAAAAAGAAAAAACAGACUGGAGGUGCCAAGUUGCUCAUGGGAGAAGAGAUGAGUGCAGCACCGAGCUGUGGUGCAGUCAGGAGAAAGCUUUGCCACUGGUCUGACUGCUUGAUCCCAACAAAACACCAGCAGGAAACAGUGAGAAAGGAUCUGACCUAGUUGCUGUCAGCUGUGUUGGAAGUGAUUUUAUCAACUCCACCUGCUUAAUGGGGAUAUUAUUCAAGACUGCAAGGACAAUGAUUUGGAAACAAAUGAGCACCAACCUGUGAGUUCUCCAGGGACAAAUGAAGAACACUUGUGCAGGACACCAGUAAUCAACAAUAGCAGGACAGUCUCCAGACUGAGAAAGGAAGGAAAAGGGGGAGGGAGGGCUGAGCAUCUCUGUGUGUUUGCCUGGGGAAAAGAGAUAUUACCAGGCCAGCUCAGCUUGUUCAAACAUUUCAGAGUUUGCUCCACAUUAAUUUCAGUAGUCAAAAGCACCAAAAGAACUGCUCUGAGAGACACGGCAGCUACAUCUGCGGGGGAACAUCAUGUCCAUGUCAAGCUUUCAAAGUCUUAUAAACUGCAAGGAGUGCAACACAGUUUCUUAACAAGCAGCAAAGAACAGCCUCGACAGAACAGACUGUAAUAUAAGGUACCACAGUGCCACUUAUUCCUGCUAUGGAUCCAGUGUGCAUCACUAGGCUCAAAUAUAGCGUAGCCUCAGUGAAUCACAUCCUGCAGACCGCUACUUAUAGGUGAACAAUUAAGGGAAAAGAAAACUUGUGGCAUCAGAAUAACAAAGGAGCCUCUAAAGAGCAGGUGGACAACAGCACACAGUGAAGCAACUGCUGCAGAAGGCACCACAGAGACACUUGAUUGGUGUUUUCAAAAAUAUAUAUGAAAGGAAGAAGGGAAAAGGAACUUUUUCAUUUUCUAACAUGAGCAGAAAGCCCCAGGUCACUGCCUUUCCAACCAUUAGGGCAAUAGCAGCACUCACUGUGGUGUUCUAAUCUCGACAAGGACGCUCUGGGCAGCAGUCUCACUGUGACCACCCAGCACAGUGCUCUGAAAUAGCCUCGUAUUUUAUGUAUGUUUUAAACAAACAAAUGGCACGUAAGCACAGAUAGCAUCAUGUACACAGCCAGCUGGUAGCACAACACACGUAUCACCAGUAAGACCCUGUGAAUUCUUAGUGUGCAGGUCACACCCAAACAUUUCUCACCAUCUAUUCUGUCUCCACCACAUACUCCAUUCCCCAAAGGAUUUACUAUGACAACUCCAUGAGCAUCCGUCAGCAAGGCUGAGACAAUGCACAACACAUAUGGGUCAAAUGGGAAAAAAGCCCUUCAGCCCUGAGACAGGUCCCUUCUGCACUUUCUCCCACUGGAAUUACAGCAAAUGAGGACAUCUGGGGCCUCAUCUGAAGCCCUGAGAAACAUCAGUGUGGUACACCUGCCUCCCUCAACUGCUGUAUAUACGUAGACAUGAAUUUCCCUACAUAUGUAUACAAUCAGUGAGACCAAACGACUCCACCUAAACAAAUGCCAGGCAUUCGAUGCCCAUGCAUAACACAAGUAGGUGAAUUUUUGUACGAACUCACCAACUUUGCCCUGACACAGUCAGGGAGGUGGAUCAAGCCAAGGAAGAAAGAAGCCAAUGCCCUUUGCAAACAGGCACAGCAAGGUACCAGUCCAAGUAAAAACGCCGUGCCCAGCACCUUUGGAGGCAUUGCCCAGAGGACAGUGGUUAGAGAUGAAAAGGACACACCAGGAAAACUCUUCCAUAGGAGUUGAUAUUUCAGCUAAGUAAGUUUCUGUUUAAACAGGCAAUAAUUACGUCCACUCAGGAAUUUCUCAUUUUCACCACUUAAAAACACCCAAAGCUGCUUUGAGGCUUUUCCUUUUUUCUCUCCCACCUUUAUUUGCUAGGUAAACACAUUUGCGUGAGCCCUGGAUCCCACAGCAUUCAGUUUCUGCAGCAUCAGCUUAGAAGCAGAGCAGCAGCGACCCAGACAGCUUCAGCAGGGCAUCCUGGCUCCUGCUCCUGACACGCUCAUGAGAAUGCAAAAUCCCAAACCAUCCAGCUCCUCACAAGAUCUUCUCCCAGUGUGGGAUGAAGCAGAAGAUGUCAUUUUUGCUAUCUGUGCUAAAACUUACUGACACCAGGAUUGCCCAUGAACUCCCUCACAGGUUGAAUUGGUCACGUGAGCCAGUUUUGUUUCUGCUUAUGAAGUAGUGCUGCAAGUUUAACAGUAGAUCAAGGCCUCACUUGAGGCAGGUAGGAGGUGUUCUACUACUUCAAACACUUUGCAGCCUUUACAAGAGGAUGCAUGGGUCAGUGCAGUGAUACCCACUGUCUCCUUCACGG